GUCAAUUUUUAUUUGUUUUGAAAGCAAUGUGCUAAGUAGUCAAACCUACUUAUUGGCU
rnacentral:tRNA from 1 species